rnacentral:lncRNA from 1 species
UUCUGUAAACCUUGAAGUAAUAUUAAAUGCAAGAGUCCAUUAUAGUGCUACACAAGUAUCACUUUCUCAGCCUAUUAUAGUGAUGUCAUUUUAUUAUUUACAAGUGAAUAUAUGAUUCCAUAAUCUGUAUGAAACCUUUCUCAACCAGAAAUAGGAAUCAUAAAAGCAGAUAUUGACUCACAAUAUCUGGGAAUGCAAUAUGCUAAAACUCACAAUAGGCAGAAAAAAGUAUACAUUCAGUGACUAAUUUGGAUUUAAAGGUCAAUAAGACAAUAACACGUUCUCUUUUGUAAGACGACAAUAUAGCAAACAACUUCUGGGCUUGAUGUACAGAGGAAGACAACAAGGUUAGUACACGUAAAACUAGAGGCAUAAUCAAUAUUUGGAAACUUAUCGGUGGGCGGGAAAGUCACUUACAAGUUACAUUAAUUGUUGCAAAAUUCCCAUUCCUCUUUUGACAAAUUUAAUAACUCCGAGCUACCAUCUUCAAACAUAAUCUGUCGAAGCAAAGAGAUGAGUAAAUGGAACUUUUCUUGUUUGGAAACAGAAAAUUGCAUCGGAACAACCAUUGCUACCUCACUAAAAAGAUGAGAUAGUGGCCAGUGGGACUCGAGCCUCGAGGCUCCGCGCCUCCAUUGCUCCAGUAAAUUGCGAAGCCAAAUAGCCAACUACACAAGCGAGGAACUCGAAGACUGGAACUGGAACUGGAACUCUGGAAGACUUGAAGAGUUCAAGUCUAAUUUCGGAAGUCUGCAACUGGAGCUGGAAGGGGAAGAAGGAGAAGUCGAGCGAAAGAUAAAAUCACUGGAUAAUUUUAG